rnacentral:rRNA from 1 species
AGCCCCUUGAACAUAUAAAGGGUCCCGCCUGCCCAGUGACCUCAAAGGUUAAACGGCCGCGGUAUCUUGACCGUGCAAAGGUAGCAUAAUCACUUGUCUUUUAAAUGGAGACCUGUAUGAACGGCAAAACCUUUUCAAACUGUCUCCCUCCCUAACCUUUUAAACUCCUUUUCACGCGAAGAAGCGUGAAUACAUCAGAAAGACGAGAAGACCCUGUCGAGCUUCAGCCAAUAAGUGAGCUAACAAAACCUAUGUGUUAACAUCACCCAAAGGCUUUGGUUGGGGUAACCAUGGAGAACAUUAAUCCUCCAGAACAAGCAGACGAACUCUCUUCCCUACUAAACGAACUAAAGAACCAGGAACUGGUAAUCGGAAAAAGUUACCGCAGGGAUAACAGCGUCAUCCCCUUUAAGAGUCCUUAUUGACAAGGGGGUUUGCGACCUCGAUGUUGGAUUGGGGCUCCCUUAGGGUGCAGAAGCUCUAAACGGUUAGACUGUUCGUCUAUUAAAGCCCUACAUGAUCUGAGUUCAGACCGACGUGAGUCAGGUCAGCUUCUAUCUUCUUUUUCGACCCCCCUAGUACGAAAGGACCGGGAAGUCCCUUUAAAUGACUACCCUCAAAAAGGAACAAAAUAGAAAAAAACAUUACCAACAAAACCCAAGAAACCCAAAAUCCCCACCCCACACUGGCAAACAAAAACUUCAUCAUGGCUUAAAAACCUAAUACAAACAAAAAUUUUUAAUUUCUCAGCAAGGGGGGGGUCUUAUCAUUUUUAAGAAUUUUUAACAUAACUACAAAUC